AUCUCUGUAAACAACUUGACACCCUCAUGACAGUCGCCGCAAUACAUUUGUAUCGUUUUACCGUCAUAAAAGUACAGUUUCUGCAGCUGACAGCUGAAUGACAGACUCAUAAUGUCACUUAACAGCACAUAUUUCAUCACAACCGCAAAAACAACCGACACACGCUGUGAUAAAGUGAAGGAAUCGACUGUCACGCGACUCACCUAAUAAGGGAUGUUUGGACCAUUACACCGCAACAGAAGCAUGUGGACAGACAUUCACUGUAAUGAUGGACAUCUGCUGAUGCACAGAAUUAGAGAUGUUUGGACGUUACACCUAGCCAACAGAAGCAUGUGGACAGACAUUGACUGUAAUGAAGGACAUCUGCUCACAAGGCAGACCUGGUGCAGCCUCCACUUCAAAAUCACACCAUUAAAAGCGUGAAGACUCCAGCUCCAGCCAUUUCAGAUACUCCUUAACUUCCAAACGAGAAUGAGACACGAAACUCGGAACU